rnacentral:rRNA from 1 species
UAACCCCCCUGAAGACCCCGGACAGACCAUCCGGUUGAUAGGUCGCAGGUAUAAGCAUAGUAAUGUGUUCAGCCGAGCGAUACUAAUAGGUCGUGAGGCUUGACCAU